GAUCGACAAGCUCGUCAGCUCUCAGAGGAGGUUCACCCCUACAUGCUUACAGAAAAAUAAAGAGGCCCACAAGGAAUGAACCAAACUGAUCUGUUGAUAAUUUAGGAUCUGUUGAUAAUUUAGGAAAACCUAAGUGAAUGCACUCUGUAGCUCCCAGGUGACAUUUAAAAAUCCCUCUGACUAAUGCGUAGGACAUUUAUAUCCUUCUCACGAAGGAUGUGUCAACACAGCUUGCCAACCCAGAGGUGGCAGGUCAUUUAUUUGGCAAGGGCCACCUAGCUUAGGCAUCCAUCCAAUGUGGGGCCAGGGGGUGGGGGGCACCCCUGAUAACUGCCAUGCCUGUGUCAAUUGCCUUCUUCCUCACACUCAGCCCCUGCAUGAUAUUCUCACCACCUCUUCCAAGGCCCCCAGGUUCCACAGAGGGAGGUUUUGGGGAUCUGUGUCCAUCUCUGACCAGCAUCUCAAUAUCAACCCCAUCUCAGGUCAGGUAGAAAUGGAGUCGUCCCAGGACCACAUCUGUCUCCUGCAGCCAACUCUCCUGGCUCAGUGAUUCAGGGCUCCUCAUUUGUGAUUAACAGGUGCCUCCUGUCUGGUGGAGACUCUUUCUCAACACCAUGUCCCCUCAAAGCAGGGGCAAAAGGAAAACAGCAUCUUGCACAGGGAGGUUUUGCAUGCUUAGAGCAACAAGCAACAGAGAAAACACACUCACAUUCUCCCUUCCUCAAAUAAACCGACUUCUCCACUCGUCCCUUCCCUUGAAAACAGAAGCACUAUUCAAAAGGAAAAAGAAGAAAGGAAUUAAAAAAAAGAACUGAAUAGGAGAAGAAGAAGAAAAGGGAGGAAAAAAGAGAGCGAGAAGAGAGCGAUCCCCGAGGGAGGUGGCAAGAGCUCAGAAUGAAGGAAAGGAGAGCAGAGACACAAAGGGUGGGGAGAGAAAGACAGAAGCUUUGAAAGAAAGAAUGUUCCGGCGUGAAUGCAGCGUGCAGGGGAGAGAAGCGCGCUUGAAAAGGAGCAGCCCGAUGCGGUGACCCCUCAUUCACACAAGGUGCCAAUCAUGGUGACAAUGCAAAGCCUUUCUUCUUUUCUACUUCUCUCCUUUCUGGGGAGGGAAAGGCUGAGAACUGCAAGUUAAUUUCUAAAAGUACCCCCAAAAAUAAAUAAAUAAAUUCGAUUCCACUGGCGAAACAUCAAAGAGCUGCUGUAAAGGCUUCCCUGAAACUCAUGACACCCCCCAAGAGAAGAGCUCCCUCCCCAGGGGCAGCUCAGGCCAGGCGGCCAUCAGCUUUAUUUCAGGGUCAGCAGCCACUGCCCUAGGCCCGGCCACCUGGCUGUGGUCACCUCACAUAAGGUCCCUGGUGAGUGAGGUUGAGAGAGC
rnacentral:lncRNA from 1 species